rnacentral:lncRNA from 1 species
UUUUAACCUCCGUUGGACAAAUCCUUGCUACAUUGAAAAGCAAAAUUAAGGCAAAUACAGUUUGCCUUUUAUUGGGAAAAAAGGAACUAUUUCAAAGAAUUUGUUCAGUUAACUACAGAAUAUGGUGCAAGACUUUUGACAAGUAAUGUGUUUUGUACUACUCAACUGCAAUCAGCUGUGUCAGGAGACACUUUCAUCAACUACCCUAUAAUUAUGUUAAGGCUUUCACAAAAUGACAAAUCCCAACUGGCUGGGCCAGAGCCCUGCCUUUCUAGAGAAGGGUAAUAAUUUUGUCCACUCACUGGUUCAUUCAUUUCAGCAAGUCCUGACCUGUGGAUUCACUGAGGAAUCUAAAGUUUAUUGGUAUAGACUUACACCUGGGAAAACUCAAUAUGAAGUUACUUCUCCCUAGUGAAUGCUUCUAAUCAGGGGUGAAAGAGAAGACACUUGUAUGUUUUCAUCCUUUCAACUCAGGUAAAUGAUAUGGUGCAGUGUAAUAGUUAUUUUUUACAUGAAGCCACAGGCAGGCAAGACAACCCACAAAAUAUGAGGCAAGAGGUUUGAGUCAGAGUUGCAUGUAAGCAAUGGAGCACGUGCGGGGUAAUCUCACACAGGUGAGGGUAAUCUCACACUGGCAUGGGCAUCCACUAAAGCGUCUCAGGAGGGAAAGUCAGAGAGUGAGGGUGUGGGCAGUGAGAGCCAGGCCUGGCUGCCACACACUGUCCAAGUCCCAGUUCCCACAGCAAGUGGUCUCAACAUGUUAAGGUCUCUUAGAACCAUUAGACUCCAUUGUGUUUCUCAGCUUUGCUGUUUAGUCAGUUUGUGAGGGUUUGCAGUUUGUCUCAGAAGAGGAUGAGAUGGUGGGUCAGCUGUCCCAGCUGUAUGUCAAUAGAGAUAUCAUGAAGUUUGCCACCCUAACCAGUGGCAGGCCCAAACAAAAAGAAAUUUCCUCAGCUCAGAGCCACUGAAAAUCCUUGUCCUUAGGCUUUCUCCAAGGGUUAUGCUAAUAUUCUUGCUCAGGCAGGCCCAACUGUGCUUCUUUCUUCUUUUCAGUUGAACUGUUAAUUCUCUGCAUACCCGUUUCCCAAAACAAUGCUUGAUAAAUGCUAAUGCCUCCUUAAUAAAUCACUGGUUUUC